rnacentral:SRP_RNA from 1 species
GCUGGCGGAUCGGUGGCGCGCGCCUGUAAUCCAAGCUGCUGGGAGGCUGAGGCUGGCGGAUCGCUUGAGUUCAGGGGUUCUGGGCUGCAGUGGACUAUGUCGAUCGGGUGUCCGUGCUAAGUUCGGUAUCGAUAUGGUGCUCCUGGGGGAGCUCGGGACCACCAGGUCGUCUAAGGAGGGGUGAACCGGCCCAGGUCGGAGACGGAGCAGGUCAAAGCCCCCGUGCCGAUCAGUAGUGGGGUCGCACCUGUGAAUAGACACUGCAGUGCAGCCUGAGCGAUACAGCGAGACUCAGACUUUU